ensembl:snRNA U6 U6 spliceosomal RNA
GUACUCACUUCAGCAGGGCAUAUACUAAAACUGGAGCCAUACAAAGAAGAUUAGCAUGGCCCCUGUGAAGGAUGACACGCAGAUUCAUGAAGCAUUCCAUAUUUUU